UUUYUUAUAAUUAUUUUUAUAAGUAAAAUCUGCUCAAUGUAAAAUAAAUAGCCGCAGAUAUUCUGUGCUAAGGUAGCAUAAUCAUUAGCUUUCUAAUUUAAGGCUGGAAUGAACGAUUUAACAUUUUAACAAAUUUUUUUAUUAUAAAAAUUUAAAUUUAAUUAAAUAUAAAAAUGUAUUUAUUCUUAAAAAAGACGAUAAGACCCUAUUGAACUUUACUAAAGUUAAGCUGGGGAAGCUAAUUAAAUAUAAUUUUAAUUUUUUUUAAAAAAAAAAUAUCCAAUUUAAUUGAUUUAACAAGUUACCAUAGGGAUAACAGCGUAAUAUUAUUUAAAAGUUCUUAUUUAAAAAAAAGUUUGCGACCUCGAUGUUGAAUUAAUUUAACUUUUAAACGUAAUAGUUUGAAAAGUGGGUCUGUUCRACCUUUAAACAAUUACA
rnacentral:rRNA from 1 species